UGGAGUGUAGCUCAGUGAUGGAGCACUUACCUUGCAUGCGGGAAGCCUGGGUUCCAUCUUCAGCACUGCAA
rnacentral:tRNA from 1 species